UUAAGUUCAGCGGGUAUCCCUACCUAAUCCGAGGUCAAGAUUAUAAAAUUGCUUUUGGAUACUAGUUUGCUAUUUCUAAAGACGCAAUUCUGCUGCGCUUAAAGCUAACAUACUAGCUGCCAAUUAUUUUAAGGCGAGUUUACACAUAGUAGAACAGACGCCCAACACCAAGCAAAGCUUGAAGGGUAAAAUGACGCUCG
rnacentral:misc_RNA from 1 species